UCGGCCGCGUACGUUUCUGCGGUUCAUCUCGUCGUCCGGCGGCAGCGGCGGCGGAUAUAAGCGUCCAGUCGGUUGACAGCGGUUGGAUUGUCGGCGGCAAUCGGCAUCAUCUUCGUGGGAGGACAGCUGGAUUCUAGCAGCAACCUGAGCAUGGACUCGCCUUGUUGCCGCGGCUGGAGAAGGAGAAGCGGCAGCUCGUAUGUGUUUGUCUCUGGAUUGGAUCGAGUAGGUGGACUUCCUGCUCGUACCUGAGGUCUCAGACCUCCACUAGCCGCUGAAAUCGACCACGACCUCUGUAGCUCCAACCUUCGACCCGACCUGAAGAUCCGUUCAAGUUCUCCAACCUUCAGCUGCCUCCCAAGGCUGACAGCGGGAGGAUAGAGGCACCACCGGCGGCUCACGUAGCAACCACUCCUCGUGUGCUGGAGAUGCAGUGGCGUGGUCGAUAAUGGAGCUCCCAUCCCCACCGUUGGCGUCAGGCCACCAAUGGAAGAGGAACCUGGUUAUUAUGGUUGACUCCAAUAGCAGCUCCUACGUAUCGGACAUCAGCUCCCCGGACAAUUCUCUCAGGCACUGCUUCCAUGUGCACUACCUGGCUACUAUGACAAGGCACCAUAAGAAAUACAUCUUGAAAAAGACGAUGUGAUUCUAGUAAUUAUACGGAGGGAGGCAAGAGCUAGCGCCCAAACACUAGUAUGAUUGUGUUGGUCAGGUGCUUCUUUCUGGCUUAGCUAAGCUAUGGGAGUCGGUGUUUAUUGAUGGGAAGUAAAUUGUAAUUGGUGGCUCUAAAACUCUCUUUCGAAAUGCAAUAAAUCAGUGGGACCUUGGUGGAUAUUUUGGUGUUUGUUGCGAUAUUCUUACGUUCCAAAAUUGAUUCAGUUCAGUUAGUUGAAUCCUUCAGAGGACAAUAGAACACGAUAUGUUUGACCAAAUAUGAUUAUGCUUUUUUCUGAACAA